GUACUCUGGUUUCUAUUUAGAAUUACUAAAUCUUUUGCAUUUUAUUAAAGAUUUCUGUGGAGGGGAACAACCAUGAGUUUUAGUGAAUUUUUUGAUGCAUGGCUAAUGCUGGGCC